CGAGUUGACCCACCAAUGGAAACUAUGGACGGAAAAUUGACGCUCUGACCCGCUUUUAUACAGCAGACGGUGUUCUUAACAAUCCAGUGGUCCAUUUUGACAUCUUCUACCAAGCAAUGAUGGCUGUACCUGCUGAAUGAAAAACAAGUCUUGCGAUAAGUUUGUCAGCAUAGCAUCUGACCAUCUGCAGGGGAAUGAAUUUCACGCUACUGAAAUGCUUCACAUCCAACAAGAACGGAUACUGCUUCCAAAAGCACUCCCAAAACCACCUCUAGGCCUAAAUUCUAUACCUGACUCCCUUGACCUCGGACUGAAAAAAGCUUGUGUUUCCAUUCAUUAUCAGGAGAAACCUGUCCAAGGGUUGCGGCCAUUAACCAAGGGAAAGCGCUGUGUCCACACUUGAAGUGGUUCCCCUUGAUGACAGGUCAAGUAUGAGCAGCCAAUCAACGGAUGGCAGGUAACGUAGAGUAAUGUACAUACAAGUAGCAAGCCAGUUUGUAGAUAAAUACAAUUGACCUUCCGUGUAGAUGUACUUAA